GCAGCAACUGAGAGAGAAUGACAGGAACAUCACAAGCAAAUUACAAUUUCCGAAAACAAAUCAAGCAUACUCAAUCAUUAUUGACCAAUUAGUCACCAAUCCAGCCAACAAAAGCGUUUCAGAGGAGAAAAAGAAACGAAAAUGCAAAGGCCCAAGGCAUUUCAAUCUUACAUAGCCUUGGGUCGUCCAUUUAAGAUAAAUCCGACGGAUUUUUCAAAGGACUCCUUUGCAAGCAUCCUUUCUUUACGAUGGAAACUCCACCUGCAAGCCAUAAACCAACCAAACACUAUCUAAAACUUUACUCUCAUCUUUUUCACCAGCACUGCACAAACCAAAACCCAA
rnacentral:misc_RNA from 1 species